rnacentral:lncRNA from 10 species
UUUUAAAGAGAAUGUGGUGGGAGUGCAGGAGCAGUGAGUUGGAGAGUGCUGAUUGGUUGGGUCGGAGGUGAAAUUACGGCGCGUCCCUGUCUUCCUGCGCUGAGUCAGUUCCUGGGUGUGAGUCACAAGAUCAGAUGGGCCGGUUUCUCGAUAUGGGUGGUGCCAGUUGAUCCAUCAAGAGUAGAGUCUGCAAAACAUCUCAGGCACUGAUCUUGGGAGCAGUUUAGGGAAGGUCAGAAUCUUGUGGCCUCCAACUACUUGACUCCUAAACCGUAAUUUCUAAUACUGUGGCUAACUUUAGUAGUCUAGUCUCCAGGCAAGAAGGGAGUUUGUUCUGGGAAAGGGCUGUUAUUGUCAUUUUUUAAAACUAUAAACUAAGUUCCUCCCAAAGUUUUUUCAGCCUGCGCCCAGAAAUGAACAAGGACAGCUUGGAGGUUAGAGGCAAGAUGGAGUCGUUUAAGUUGGACCUCUUUCACUGUCUCAGUCAUAAUUUUGCAAAGGCGGUUUCAGUUGCAGACAAAAGGAUCCGCAGGCUCCAGUGACUGUCUGCAUGGCGGGAGAAAACACAAGGGCCCUAAUAAGAGUAAGAACCGCCGCUUUCUAAGAACCUACUGUGUGUCCAGCAGGGAUCUACAGCAUUGCAUUCAAUUCCGUCCUCCCCCACGCCUGCCUUUAAUUGAUAUGAUAAUAUACAAAUUUUUUAAUGAAUAACAAAUGUGCCACCAAUCACCUAGAACUAUUAGGGAGGCUCCAAAGCAUCAAAGGCUAAACUAAACACCAUGGCUGGAGAGGGAAUGAACUGGAGGAGGGAAAGGAGGAAAGACUGGGGGGACCCAGAGCUCUCCACCCUUGUCCUCUCGCUCCAGCCUGGUCUGUUCUUGCUCAUUCAGAAACUGGUUGGAGUAAAAAGAUUCCCCUUUUCAAGAUCGCCAAAAGUGGAACUGAUCGCUUUCGAAGGGACUCCUUCAGGAAGAAGGAGAAAAAUUCGAGAAACUUACCUGUUUCUCUCCCUGGAAUGCCUUCUGAACCCUGAGAUUUACUUUCCUCAAUAAAGAAGCUCGCCUCGCCCACCCAGCCCACUCUUCCUAGGAGCAGCGAGGAUCGCUGUCCCUCCAGCACAUACUAGUCAACUCGAGUCAUCUGAAUAUGGGCAUAUUGGGCACAUAUUUCUUUGUAAUGGUUCCUCUCCUAUUACAAUAUGUAUCUGUUGUUUCAUCGUUAGAUUGAAAGCUCUUUAAGAAUUAUGGUAACAGUGUUACAGCUCUUUCAGAAUUUGUUUAGCAGGUUUUCUGGUUUUCACAGGAAAAUAAAAUAAAAACAAUAAUUAUAAUAAUGGCUACCGUGUUUUGAAUGCUUGCUUUUAGGCUAUUAAGCACAG